UCCCAGGCUGCCUUUAGUGCAUGUAAUUAGUGAGGAACAAAGGAAAGUCAGUUUACGUCUUCUCCAUCGCUUCUUCCAUCUGUCCUUAUCUGCCCUUAUAUCGUGAGGGAGACUGAAGGUUGCUCUCAGGACCCAUCAACUCCAUGAAGCUGAGUCAUGUAUCGUACGCAGUGUGUUGUUGCAAGUUGGAUCUGACGUGCUCCUUGAGCAGCUGUAGUCCCUGGUGGCGUGUUGCAGUAAUUUCUUUAUGUGUUCAGGAGGUGUUCCAGUGAAACUGAACCUCUGCAUCAUGCUCAAGAGAGCAGCACAAGGAUGGCAGAAAACAGCUGUGUGAGGCUGUAGCGUAGAACUGAUCGUAUCACAGGAUGUCUCAUCUUCCUGAACACGGGUGAAGAUCUGAAUCUCAAGUGUCAUUCAGCACCCACCCUCACCCCGCUUCCAGAAACUUAUAGCAGGGAAACAUCCCUAUGUCACACAGUCCUGGAAGGGAGUGGUCAUGCAGCUUCCUCUGAGCCUCUGUUGGCCAUCAGGGAAGGAGAUGAUACAAGAUGUGUGCCCUCUUCAUUGCACCUGUCCUGUUGUUUAGGAGAGAGAUCGCUCCCUCUGCAGAAUUCCCUAUUGCCUCCCACCCAGAGGAGAUGAAGGGGAGAUGCCCAUGAAGAUGAACUCUGCCUCCUCUUUGGGAGCAUGGUGAAGGACUGCACAGAGCUGGCACUGCUGGGGCACCCCCUGCACUGGACACAGUUGUGAAUUGAGGAUGAAUAUCACUGAUAAAAUGGAGGUCAACAACUGAACGGCAUCUCGUGGAAAAGAUUCGGAGUCUAACUGGGAUUGGCACUUGAGUCAAUAUUACCUGCCUGCUUUGAAGAUGUCCUUCCACUGGAGGAGUCUGGGAGAAGGAAAUGGAAAAGGGUGGUGGAGGUCCUGAGAAAGGGGUCAUGAUGCCAUGAAAAAUCCUCUCCCUCUCGGCAACUGGAUGUCACAUCCUGAGGCUCACUCAGCUCAAAGGUGACCUCAAAACCAAACCUGUCUGAAGGUUUUCGUGGGGCUGGAAUCAGUGGAUGCUGAAGUAGCUCUUAGCUGUGCCAGGAGGCCUCUUAGCGACCAGCACUUAUACAGGCUCACACAUCUCCCACAUCGAAAUCGGCAUUCUUGGAUCCGCUGAGUUUUGAUCCACAGUGAGAUAAGGCCUAAGGGAACUCUCUCUGGAGUGUAUUUCAUUUUGUUCUCUGAAUCAAGAGACGGAGCCCAAAGCAAGACCUGUGGAUAUGAAGAAAUGGGCUCUGAAAGCGCCUGUCCCACACGUCCCUGCUGUUUGAGACACGGUGAAGCCUGUGCUGGUGGCAGUCACAAGAAGAGCUGUCUGUGCUCAGGUGGCUUCCAGGGCUGUCUGUGCUCAGGGAAAGGAAACAUCCUCCAUUGUUUCUCCCCUAUAUUUGACUGAAACGAAGCUGCCCGCCUGCACAGCGGUACCCACCUCUGAAUAGUUUGCUAUUCUGGGCCCUGUGCAAUUUGGAGACUGACAACUUACCUUAACUGUUGGAGCACCAACCACUUCACAGAGCUCUCCCAGGCACUGCAGUCCCUGCUUCCUGCAUGGAAAGCAUCACCGAUACCAAGCAAGUGGAGAGGGCGGCCUUUCAUAGGAUCAUAGCCUUCAGGACUCUGGGGUGCCACAACUCCUGUUUGAAACAUAUAAUUGCUGUGGCAUUCAGUGCAACUGACGACAGGGAAGCUCGAACCUGGCAACUGCUACCUUAAAAAGUAAUAGAAGAAGGAAGCAAAAACCCCUGGGGAAGCUGUGCAUACAUAGCAAAGGAGGAGCAAUGGGCUUGCAUUGGUAAACUGCUCCAUAGGGCACCCAUUCAGUGCUAUAAAGAAGGCAUCCAGGCUGUGUGUUUCCCAGCUCCUGCAGCGGUAGGAUGGACCAUGAGUGUGCAUAGGAAGCAUGCGGUGCCUUCAGCCGUGGUUCAGCUGCCAAAGAAGGUGGGGGAGUGCUGUGCUCCCCAGCUCCAUGCGGACCGGGAGAGAGGCAGAGAAACAGAGGAGGUGGGUGCUUUUCUGCAGGUAAUGAAAGCGAUCAGCUGGCUGCCCAUGCAGCACAGCCCUCCUGCCCUCCCCAGUCCUGCUCCCUGCCUUGCCAGGAGCGCACUUGGGUAGAAAGGUCUGAAAAAUCAGGACAGCUUCUAUUCUAUGGGAACAAAAGGUUUCCUUUGUUGUAAUUCCUCUGUUGGGCUCUGCACGAGGCCCUCGCAUGGGGCCCUGCAGCACGUGCCCUGCAUCAUGGGGACAAAAGCAGAUUACUGCAGGGAUGCCUGAAAAGGAGCCAUGACUUGUUCCCUUGUUGCUACAAUCUUGUUUACAGGCUGAGCUUCGCAGGGAGCAAUUCACACAGGUUUCUUUUGCAUUAUAAUAGUAAAGAUUUUUCUUGGUGGGAGAAAAAAAAGAGGAGAGAGGGUGAGGUGAGGAUUUAUCACAGAGCCUUGCCUGAAAUGAUUUAGGCUGUUAAGACCAUUUAUGCUGAAGGAAGUGAUCAGUUUCUGCUUCCCAAACGUCGUCUCCCAGUGCCGUGGGCCUGAUUCAGCAGGGCAGCUCCAUGUGAAGAGAAACGAAGUUGAUGAAGUAUUAGGAGGAGAUGACGGCAGCUAAAGGGGAGUUCAGUGGUUGUCCUUCACUUUUGUCUUCUGUCUUUUCAAGCUUAAGGCAGCAACUUCCAAAAUUCUUCGUGAGCCAAUCAGAGCACUGAUGGAGGGAACACCUUCAGCCACUGCACCUUAACAGCCACCUCGAGUGGCCCUGUGCUGGGUUUUUAAUCAUAUGAUGGCUUUUAAUUGAUGCUUUCUGUAAUAAACGAGGGGCUGCUGUGUUUUCACUGGGUUAUUCACUUGCUUCUGUAGUAGCUUUCAGUUGCAUGAUGCACAAACGGAGUGCAGCCUUCAGAAGUGACCCGUGGGACUUGAGGGCUGAUCCACUGCUACUGAAACGGUAGGACCAAAUUCUGCUGCCUGCUGGAUGCUGGGCCUCAAAGCAGGGAUGCAGAGAGGUGUAGAAAGCAGCAGUGCUCCCUGCUGAGCUCCGUGCAUGGGGCUGCUGCUCAUGGCUGGUGGGACAAAGCACUGCAGUGCAGACUGUGCUGCUGAACGCCAACAUAGGCUGAGCACUGGGGGGGCUGCAGCUCCUUUGAGGGCAGGUAGAGGACUUCCAUUUUAUUUUACUUUCCUUUCCCCUUUCCCCUCCUUUCCUUUUUCCUUUCCGUUUUCCUUUCCCCUCCUUUCCUUUUUCCUUACCGUUUUCCUUUCCCCUCCUUUCCUUUUUCCUUUCCCCUCCUUUCCUUUCCCCUUUCCCCUCCUGUCCUUUUUCCUUUCCCCUUUCCCCUCCUGUCCUUUCCCCUCCUGUCCUUUUUCCUUUCCAUUCCCCUUUCCCUUUCCCCUCCUGUCCUUUUUCCUUUUUCCUUUUCUUUUCCCUUUCCUUUUUCCCUUCCCCUUUCCCCUCCUGUCCUUUUCCUUUUUCCCUUUCCUUUUUCCCUUUCCUUUUUCCUUUUCUUUUUCCUUUUCUUUUUCCUUUUCUUUUUCCUUUUCUUUUUCCUUUUCUUUUUCCUUUUCUUUUUCCUUUCCCCUUUCCCCCCCUGUCCUUUUUCCCUUUUCCUUUUCCUUUUCUUUUUCCUUUCCCCUUUCCCAUCCUGUCCUCUUUUCCUUUUUCCUUUUCCUUUUCUUUUUCCUUUCCCCUUUCCCC
rnacentral:lncRNA from 1 species